GAUUUGGGGAAGGGGUGGAGUGAGGGCAGGGCCUGGGGUAGAGUGGGGGUCGAGCACCCUCUGGGAACUGGGGAAGUCGACCCCUCAGCCCGUGUACCCAGCUCUGGCAGUGUAAGGAGAGCGUCUACAGAACCGUCACCCACUUCAAGCCGCACGCGCUGCCGCCUGUUGCUUGUACGCUCAUUGGCACAGGGCCCAGCCCCCACGGUGAUGGGCACUCUGACUACAUAAGCAAACAGGACCGGCCAGGGCACAGGGAGAACAUUGAGUUAGAAGGGGCCACAGAGCCACAAGGAGGGAUUUGGAUCUCACACCCUAGUGUUCAGCGCAGUUACUCUCCAUCUACCAGCAUACGGGCCAUCAGAAUCAAGCCUACGGCCGCUAAGGCCCAACGGAGUCGCUCUGAUCGGUUAGUCUGAGCUCCUGUCUAACCCAGACCAGAGCCAGCCACCCAGGAGUACCUGCCACAGAGGGAAUUAUUUAUAUUAGUACCCGGGAGCAUAUUAAAGCAGCAGCCAGACACCAGCUCCAGUCGAAAAAGCCUUUCUAACAGCCCCUGCGGCCACACUGCUCCUGACUCCAGCUGACCUUGCUCCGCUGAGGUCACAGCGGCCAGGUGCUCACAUGUGGCCGCAGCCGUACCGGGGUUAAGCUGGCUUCCGAUUACAAAGCAAGGGCACAAUGUCCUGGAGGGCUCUGGGAAUCUGGCAAUAGCCCUUUGGCCUUUCCCCAGGGCAACACCUGACUGUCUUGUUUUAUUCCAAGCAAUUCAGUCCGUGGUUGCGCCACUGUGCGCUGGAGUCCAGCUAGGUUUCAGAGGCUGAGCAGGGGCAGGCUGGGUUGGGAAGCUGGAUUGGAGGCCUCCACCCAGAUCCGCAGGAAGCAGUACUGGAGGAUUCGAUAGGUGGCGCUUUCCUUACGGGGUCAGCACAGGGCACUAGGGAGGGCUGUGUGGCAGGUGUAACACACAAGCCCCCAUCACUAAAGAUCCCCUAGAGCUGGUUAUCCCCAAAAUCCCAGCCUGGGAAUUGCAAUGUUGCCUACCUAAUAUUCCUCCUGCAGUUACGGUACUCAGGCCCUCUCCUGAACGAUUAUAACAGCUGCUGCAGCCCUCCCCAGAGGUGGCCACAUUUGAGCACUAGUCAAACCGACCCGUACGGGUCUGUAACAUUUACACUGCGCUCUGGGCUGCGGAGCACUGUAGGAGCAGCCAUGUCGUAGCCUGUCGUGCUUUUUAUAUUCUUUUGGUGAGGGAAAAGCAGGCCUAGUAGCCGGAACCCAUCCUCCAUCAGGAUCGUGCAUGGAGCCAUGAAAGGAGACAAAGGGUCAAGUACAAGCAGCAGAUGUCCCAGGCAGAGAAGGCCUCUCACCGCACCAGGGAAGGGUGCCUUCACCUACCUACAAGAGGAACACCUGCCCUACAGCCCAGAAAAGCAGGCACUGAUCCCACAUGGGCAGCCCAGCCCCUCCAAUGCAAGCCGGAGGUGGGGUGGGCAUGAGAUGAGGCCUCAGCAGCAGGAAGGGCUCCCGCCGAUCAGAACCAGCCACACAGGCAUCCUGGCAGAGCUGAGAAGAGAGGACCCCUCUCACUCCAGAUCCCAUGUGACCGCACUGGGAAUCCUGGCUUUAGCUCAGGAUCAGACACAGCCUGGAUCAGACGAGCGGAUAAGACAGAGCUGUGUGAGGCAGAGAUCACCUCUUUGAUGUGCCCGUACUGCACCGAGCACAGUGGACUGCUGGUCCAUGACUGGGGGUCCCAGCUGCUACCAUAAUACACCUAAUAAAUAACAUACAGCA